rnacentral:sRNA from 1 species
AUGCUACCAGUCUGGACAACUGUAUGCUGUGUAUCUGCCACUAUAGUAUCAUACAGAAUUUUUUACUGUCCUAAAACCCCUGAGCUCCACCCAUUUUAUUCAUCUCUCCCUCCUCAACCCUCGGCAGCCACUCAUCUUAUGCUGUCUCCGCAGUUUGCCUUUUCCAGAAUCUCAGAGUUGGAAUUGUACAGUAUGUCGCCUUUUAAGAUUGGCUUCUUUCACUCAGUAACAUGCAUUUAACUUUCCUCUAUGUCUUUUCAUGCCUUGAUAGCUCAUUUGUUUUCACUGUUGAAUAAUACUCCACUGCCUGGAUGGACCACAGUUGAUUUCUCCUUUUGUUUACUGACGGGCCUCUUGACUGCUGCUGAGUUUCGGCGAUUAUGAAUAGAGCUGCUAAACAUCUAUGCGCAGGUUUCUGCAGGGACAUCAAUUUUCAGCUCCUUAAAUACCAAGGAAUGUGUUUUGCAACCAUUACCACCAUCCACCUCCAGAACUUUCUUAUCUUCACACACUGAAAUGCUGAAACAUCAAACAACUCCCCAGUCUCCCUCUCCCAGCCCCUGGCGCCUCCCAUUCUUUCUAACUCUAUGAAUUUGACUCUUCCAGGGACCUCAUAUAAGCAGAAUCAUCCUGUUUGUGUCUGUUUGUAACUGCCUUAUUUCACUCAGCAUAAUGUCUUCGAGGCCCCUCCACAUUGCAGCCCGUGUCAGAAUUUCCUUCCUUUUUUAAGACUGAAUACUCUUCCAUCCUAUGGGUACACCAUGUUCUGCUUAUCCAUUCAUCUGUCAAUGGACAGCUCUUGGCUACUGUGAAUAAUGCUGCUAUGAACAUAGGUGUGCCCAUUUCAUGCUGGGUUGUUUUUUGUUGUUGUUUGUUUGCUUGUUUGUUUUUCGAGACAGAGUCUUGCUCUGUCACCCAGAGUGCAGUGGCAGGAUCUCAGCUCACUGCAACCUCCGCCUCCCAGGUUCAAGCGAUUCUCCUGCCUCAGCCCCCCGAGUAGCUGGGAUUACAGGCACACGCCACCAUGCCCAGAUAAUUUUUUGUAUUUUUAGUAGAGAUGGUGUUUCACCAUGUGGGCCAGGCUAGUUUCGAACUCCUGACCUCAAGUGAUCCUCCUGCCUCAGCCUCCGAAAGUGCUAGGAUUACAGGCAUGAGCCACCACGUCCACCCAUUUCAUACUGUUCUUAAGGUAUGUUUUCCAAUGUCUGGGACACAACUCUGUCUGUCAUGCCUCUGUCUCUCAUGCAGGCAACGGGGUGGUCAUUCACUUGCCAGGCUUGUUUGAGGAAGCAGAGAAGAAUGAAAAGAAAGGCCUGAAGGACUGGGAGAAGAGGCUCAUCAUCUCUGACAGAGCUCACCUUGGCUGUCGACGGACUUCAGGAAGUGCAACGCCAGGCACAAGAGGGGAAGAAUAUAGGCACCACCAAGAAGGGAAUCGGACCAACCUACUCUUCCAAAGCUGCCCGGACGGGCCUCCGCAUCUGCGACCUCCUGUCAGAUUUUGAUGAGUUUUCCUCCAGAUUCAAGAACCUGGCCCACCAGCACCAGUCGAUGUUCCCCACCCUGGAAAUAGACAUUGAAGGCCAACUCAAAAGACUCAAGGGCUUUGCUGAGCGGAUCAGACCCAUGGUCCGAGAUGGUGUUUACUUUAUGUAUGAGGCACUCCACGGCCCCCCCAAGAAGAUCCUGGUGGAGGGUGCCAACGCCGCCCUCCUCGACAUUGACUUCGGGACCUACCCCUUUGUGACUUCAUCCAACUGCACCGUGGGCGGCGUGUGCACGGGCCUGGGCAUCCCCCCACAGAACAUAGGUGACGUGUAUGGCGUGGUGAAAGCCUAUACCACACGCGUGGGCAUCGGGGCCUUCCCCACUGAACAGAUUAACGAGAUUGGAGACCUGCUGCAGACCCGCGGUCACGAGUGGGGAGUGACCACAGGCAGGAAGAGGCGCUGUGGCUGGCUCGACCUGAUGAUUCUGAGAUAUGCUCACAUGGUCAACGGAUUCACUGCGCUGGCCCUGACGAAGCUGGACAUCCUGGACGUACUGGGUGAGAUUAAAGUCGGCGUCUCAUACAAGCUGAACGGGAAAAGGAUUCCCUAUUUCCCAGCUAACCAGGAGAUGCUUCAGAAGGUCGAAGUCGAAUAUGAAACGCUGCCUGGCUGGAAAGCAGACACCACAGGCGCCAGGAGGUGGGAGGACCUGCCCCCGCAGGCCCAGAACUACAUCCGCUUUGUGGAGAAUCACGUGGGAGUCGCAGUCAAAUGGGUUGGUGUUGGCAAGUCAAGAGAGUCGAUGAUCCAGCUGUUUUAGUCGCAGACUGAGCUGAUCCCAACAGGCCCUGGCAGCGUCUGGACUUGUAUAAACAGCAGCAAUCACGUUCCUCGGCCACCACAACCAACACCAAAGCAGGAAAACCAUUUUCUGUACUUUUAUAUUUCUGUUCAACCUGUUGGUUUCUACAAUGAUUUUAAACAUUGGAAAGCCAGCCUUGUGUAUAUUUUUAAAAAUUAUAUUUAAAAUGAGCCAAAGUGCUCAAAGCAGAGACCUUCUAUGACACCUUAGUGUCACAUGGUUGCGUGUCCAGCCGAAGCAGCGUAAUAAACAUCUCCAAUGGCCGCCG